rnacentral:lncRNA from 1 species
AUGAGUGGGAGAACCUACGUUGUGAUAUUCUUCUUCUGGGCUGCCCUCACUCUCAUCACCCCCACACUCAUUUUCCUCUCAGAGACUUCAAAACCCUACUUGGAUUCAAAUGGUAAGAAAUAGUGAGAGAUAUGGAAAAUUUUGUUUUACUGUUGUAGUUGUGCUCUGAUUUCUUGACACUUUGAAAUGAUUUUUGUAACCUCUUUCUCUUCUGCUUCAUGUUUGGCAGGUGAGAAAAUUGAAGGAAUCAAGGCUAGAAGAAUGAUAGAAAUCAUGAGAUAUCAAAGAAGCAGAGCAACCACAGAAGCACCUGCACCAACUCCAACUUCAGACCUGAAACCAGCUUUGGAGACUAGAGAAACCAAUAUUGGAAAGGGCUUGUUAGAAUCUUUGAGAUUGAUGAUCAAAAAUACCAAGUUCAAGUUAACGUGA